rnacentral:lncRNA from 1 species
GAUUCACGCAUGUUAUAGCAAAUUCAUGUUGACCUAAUCUGAUAUUGUAGCAGAAUCAUCUUUAUUUUUCUUAUAAGAUAGCCCACGACAGAUUAAUUACAUAAUAUAUACAUACAAAACAUGAAAUUAAUGAUUAUCUUAACUUAAUUAAUGAUGGAAGUAAAUGUAAAGGUUGACUCAUCAGUUCUAUAACAAAAAAUUGUUUGCAGUGCACAAAGAGAUUACACAGACAAAAAAUAAUAAUAAAUUGAACUGCUUUUCUUAGGUUAAUGUUGGAAAUAAAAUCUCACCUCGCUCGGUCAAUUCUCGAGCACUGCAUGUGGAUAGGGGAGAGAAGACGACGGUGGCUAAGAGAAAGCAUACGAUAAGAAGGGCCUUCAUCUUGGAAAUAUAUGUGACUAACACGGUUAUGCUCUCCUCCUAUUAUCCACCGCUCUUAUUUAUAGCCACCGUGAUUUUUAGCCAUUCGAAGGGAACUGUUCUUGAAAUCAAGGAUACGAUAAUUAAUGAACGUAUCAAACACUUCGCCUUCUUGAAUACGCCACCGUUGAAAAGUAAGAGUGCAUUCUAUCCACAUAUGCUGGAAGAUAAUACUAUGCUUUAAUUAAUAAAAUGCACUAAUACAGCCGAAGACUAGCUGUUGACUCACGGUGACAGGCUCCACCUUCAGAGGUUUCCAAGCAAAACAUAUAGUUCAUUAGGUACAAAAUUGAGGCAUCAUUUUCUAAGGUAUAAAGCUUCGAAAAGUAUAAAGCUGUGAAAAUUAAGAGUUAGGUAUAAAUUAAGAUAUUUAAUUCAAAAAUAAAUUUUUUUAUUUAAUUGUAUUUGUUAAAUUUAUUUAUUAACAUAAUUUAUUUAUUAAAUAAAUGAUAAUAUAACUAGAAACACAAAUUAAAUUGAUUAAUCUAGAAUUAUCUAUAGACAUGGGUCCUUUAUACUCAACUUGCUGGGUCCUUUAUAGACGAAAGGCAUCUUCGUCUCCUCUCCCUAAGUUUACGUCAACUUGCUGGGUCCUUUUUAUAUAUUAAGAUAGUGUUUUUAUGGGUCCUUUUUAUAUAUUAAGAUUAUACAUAUUAUUUUUUAAAAUAUUUUUUAUUUAGAUAUAUAUAAAUAAUACUUUUAUUUUAAUUUUUUAAAAAUUAUUUUUUAUAUCAAUAUAUCACAACAAUCUAAAAAAAAAAACUCAUAAAGAGAAAUAAUGCGUGUACUGUUACUUGGCCUUCAUCUUGGAAAUAUAUGUGACUAACAUGUUUAUGCUCUUAUUUAUGGCCACCAUGAUUUCUAGCAGCACUCGAAGGGAACUGUUCUUGAAAUCAAGUCCACACGAGCCCAAGAUAAUUGAUGAGCGUAUCAAAUACUUCGCAUUAUUGAAUAAGCCAACUUUGAAAAGUAAGAGUGCGUUCUAUCCACACAUGAUGGAAGAUAAUACUAUGGAUUAUGGAAGACGAUACUUAACGUUAACUAGAUACUUUACCCGUCACGUUGCGGGUUAUAUAUAUAUAUAUAUAUAUAUUUUUUUUUUAGUAAAAAAAUUUAUAGAUAUAUUUUUAUAUUUAAAAAAAUUCUAAAUGAAAAUUAAAAUGUUAGAGAAAAAACAAAAAAAAUCAUUAAUUUAACAAUAAUAAUAAUAAUAUACCAAAAAAAACAAAAACCAGGCUCUAUUGAGCUUGUACGCCUCACCUUUUUUGUUACGUUUCACAUGCGAGCUUGCACUAGCAGGCACUCCUUAAUUUUUUUUUUUUUUGCAUGUAGUCCGUCCUAAUUUUAUUUUGAAAAACAAAUCAAAUGACAACUCAUUUGAUUUACUAGAUUCCAGUCAUCGUAAUAACCGUAAAAUUAAAGCAUAAGUUUUUUAAUCUAAAAACUUAUUUUCAAUUUAUUUUUACUUAAAAUAUCUAUAAAAUAUCUUAGAAACCGUGAUAAAUCUAUCCAUAGCUUUAAAAAAAUAUCUUAAAAACUAAAAUCAAUUCAAAAUAAAAAAUUAAUUCGAAUUUAAAUAUAUUUUUUCAUGAACUUUAAAAAUACAAAAACACUUAAUUAAGAAGAUUUUACACAAUUAGAACUAAAUCAGCCCACAUCAAAAUAUAAUCCAGCUUGCUUGGUCCUUUUUAUAUAUUAAAAUAGUGAUUUUAUAUAAUUAUUUUUUCAAAUAUUUUUUUAUUUAGAAAUACAUGAAAAUAAUAUUUUACUACUAAAAAAGGGACUAAUAACAUCUGAUUUUAGUAACGGAUAAUUCCGUUGCUAAAUUCAGCAACAGAUUUACAACGAAUUACAUAUUUAUUAUUUUUUUAAUAUUAGUAACAGAUUUUAGCAACAGAAAAUCCGUUGCUAAAGAUAACAUAAAAUUUGCAACGGAUUAUCCGUUGCUGAUUGAAGAAAUAAAUAUUUAAAUUUUAAUAUAAAAUUAAAAUUAUACAGACCGUUGAUAAGGAAUUUUACUUUUACAAUCUCAACCGUUAAUUAGCGAUCCUAAACUUACAUACUCUCUCCCCUUCAGAAACGUAAACAGAGCAAUAAAUAAAAAACCCAGAAAAUGCUAAUUAACUUGCAGUGAAUUUCUUCAUCCCCUUCGUCCCCUGAUAGUAACAUCCAUAACAGUAGAAAAACAAUUAACUUAGCACUCUCUCUUCAUCGAUCUGAUCUUCCUUUGUCCCUAACAUUUCUCUUGGAAAAGAGGGCGGCCCGCCCUCACCUUAGGCAGACAUGGGAGACAGAAGGGGGAGGAGAAAGAAGCCACUCUCUCGACGAUUAACGGCUUCCUCAUCCCGGAUCUCAUCAAGCUAUGCUUUCGCCUUGUUCUUUCUCUUUUGGUGAGCCAUCAAUAGAAGGUGCGGCUAGCUUCACAGAAGAGUAAUCCUGAAUUGGCAAUUCCUUUUGGUUCCGUUCCCCUGCCACCUUCAAUCCGUCCUCUGGAAUGCUAAAGCAAAGGUAAGAAAGGCAAUUGGAUUGAAUAGUGUCAGGUUAUGAGCUCCUUCGUGAGCAGUAAGAGGGCAUUCUAACAAAGCAAAGAGAAGAGCCUAAAGUCAGUCAAGCAGUAACGGGCGAAUGGUUUACCGUAGAUCGGCCUUUGCCUUUUUCGGGUAUUCCAUCUUUUUUUUAGACCUGAAGAGUUCUUAUUCUUCAAUAGCAGUCCCUUGCCCAGCUGGGUCGAGGUACCAUGCCUUCUCCUUGCCAGAUGGAGAGGUAAUUAAUUUUAGGAAUUAUUUGUUUCUCUGUUGCAAUUAAACUUACAGUUAAAUUUUAGCAAAUGUUCUGUACUGUUUGAUGUCCAUUUGCCCCAUUAUUGUAUGGACUCUGGUGAGAUAAACCAUAUCAUUGUGUUGACUUACCUCUGGUUUUCUUUUGUUUGGUUCAAGGUGGACUCCUCUGAUGGUUGCUCGUUCAUGGCACAGAAAUGAACUUGGGGUGAUUCUUACCACACAGCAAGAAAACCAGUCUCAAAUAUGUCCUUCUCCAUAUAUAUCCAUUCCCUUUAUGAGCAUUGUCAAAAUUGCCAGGUAAAUACAGGUUGUCAUAUUUUGUUGCAAAGUUUACAGGAAUGCAUUGACAUAUGGGCUUGUUCCUUUGAAACCAUUUCUUAUUGAUCAUAUUUUCGUAUUGAUCAUCACUUUGAAACCAUUUCUAAUAAACUGGUAGUUCCUGCUUACAGGCAGUAUAUAUACAAAGAAUUUUUGUUCCUGCUUAUAGGCUUGUUCCUGCUUCCCUAAUAUAAUCCUCCUAUUGCCGGUCAUGCAUAGACAAACAGGUAUAAUGUUGAUUCGCAAGACAUGUUAUCCGUUAGUCCAUAGGGCAAUAUAGUGGUGGUGUUGAGUUAUGUCAUGAUUUUUUCGAUCUUAGCUUCUACUGAUUUUUUGUCAAGGAAAUGAAUUCGAGCUGGGGAUCAUUGAUUGAACGGCUCUGAGAUAUAGAUAGAAUGCACAGAGGAGGUGAUCCCAUGGUGUCUUCUUAUCAUGAGAAAAGGAUCUGUACUUAGUAAUGCACUAAAGAUACUCCAGCCUAAGGAUGCUUAGCGUGAUGCACAAGAAUAUACGCAUAGCAAGUGAUCCAGUCUUAUUAGAAGUAGCAGUAGCCAAUGAACAUUGGGUCAAUGAAAGCAGAAAGCACCAAACAAUGAGACCCUUGAAACUUCUGGAGAAUGGUUCACCCAAGGAGUUACAAGGUGCCACCAUCUUCUUAUUUUUUCAAUUCAUUAUAAAUUAUGGAUUUUAUUGUUAUUUUUUUUAAAAUUACUGAAUAGAUUUAUUAAAAUCAAAAUUUGAAUGACAUAGCAAGAAAUGCUAAUUGAAACACUUUUAUUAAAUCAGAAUUUAGAACCACUAAUUAAUUCAUAUUGUUUUUAUUUUUAUGCUUAGCUUCUAUCCAUGUAUGUUUCUUCAAUGAUAUAUAUGUACCUGUAUGAAGAACAAAGGAAACAAUUUUGCAUUCCUUCUUUAUCUUGUUGUUGAUAUUUCGGUACUCACUAAUGCAUUUCCAAGAAAGUGAUUUUUUUACUUCAGCUUUGCUUAGUAAAAGUACAGAACAGCAAUGAGAAAUAGGAAAAAAGUUUUAAUCUAUUAAUAGUGUGAUAUUUUGUUGAUCCUUGUAGAAUUUUAACAAUGAAACUGUCCUUGAAUUCUAUUGAGACAAAAUGUAACUUCUGAGGUUCAUGAUGCUAACAUCUCUAUGUAGGACUGGAUAUGUUGAACAAACCUACUAAGAAGCUAUUGACUUCUUGAUUCCAUAACAUGUAACUUCUGACUCCUUGGUCUGUUUUAGGUGUUUUGAUUAAACGGUUCUACUCUAAGAAUUUGAAGGGAUAAGUUUCUGCCAUAACAGAAUUACUGCUGUUAUUUUCACUUCCAUGUGCUUACUGGCUCUCUGUAAUCAAUGUUUUCCCACAAACAUAGUUUAGUAGAAAUCAGGGGACUAGGGUGGCAGGGGAUUAUACCUUGAUGCCUUCAAUUAUUGUGCCUUUUACACUAAACACUUCUUUGGUAUUUAGCAAUUAUUUUUACGAGAUUUUGUGGUUUGUAAGAGUACAUACUGUAUAUGGUGUCUAAUUUUGCCCUCUCAAUUGAAGGAUUGUGCUACUUAUACUGGGAGUUCCCGGAGUGUUAGGUCUGGGAGUUCCCGGAGUGAGAGAGAUGACCGAGGUAGGGACAGAAAAGGCCAUAAAGAUGAUGCUAGGGAUGAAAGCAGGAGGGGGAGAGAUGGGCACAGCAGUGAUUGUGAAGAACGGUAUCGUGGAACGGCAGAUGGAUUCUUUUUAUUGUAUCUUUUGUUGUUUCUUUUUAUUGUAUUUCAAUUUAUUUGUAUUAAUGCAAGUUUAACUAAAUUUUUAUAAUAUGAAUAUUAUUUUUAUUCCAUUUUUUAUUAGUGAUACAAUUAUUUUUAAUAUUAAUUUAUGUUGGUUAUAUUCUACAACUUUUAAACUAUCCAUAAAUAAUUAAUUAAACAAAUUAAAAUUCAUUUUAAUAAAUAAAAAAUUAAUUUAAUAAAAAUAAUAUAGUCAGCAACGGAUUUUAUAAUUCAAUCAGCAACGGAAAAUCAGUUGCUAAAAAAUCAGCAACGACAAAUCUACAUCCGAUAUUUGCCGUUGUUGAUUCUGUUGCUAAAUUAUUUUAGCAACGGAUUUUAGUUUUAUUUGCAACGAAUGGUUAGUUGCUAAUUACUAUAUUUUUUUAGUAGUGUUUUUAUUUUAUUUUUUAAAAAUGAUUUUUGAUAUUAAACAUUAAAACUAUCCAAAAUAAUAAUAAUAAUAAUAAUUUCAAGAUAUAUUUUUUUCAAAAAAUCACAAAAUACUAUUAAAAUAAAAUAAAAUAAACAGCCCCUGAAGGCAUCUUCAUGUAAACAUCUUCCGUUCAUGUCAUAUCGCGCUCAACAUGGUUGAAGAAGAAAGUCUUUUAGAUGUGAUUACUUCGUACAUAAUUACCUGAAGAUAUAAGACACCUUGUAUUAAAAUUAUUUAUAAAUUUCAAAAUUUUCAUGAGAACAACCCUAUUAUAACAAAAUUAAAUGGUGUGUGUGGAAAUUUAUGGUUUCAAGAAAAGAAUUUUUUUUUUAUUUUAGAUAAAAAACACUUUUUAAAAAUUAUAAAAAAUUUAAAAAUAUCCACCACAAGAUUUAACAGUUUUAUCGACAGAAUUUUUUUGUUGGCGUAAGAUACAUAUUUCGUUGGUAAUUAAUUUACCAAUGAAAUCACCAACGGCAAUGUGCAGAUAAAUAGAAAAUAAUAUAUAGUUUGAACAUGGUUUUGAGAGAUAAAAGAGAAAUUGAAGUUUUAAAGUUUUAUGUAGAAACUUAAGUUUUGAAGUUAAGAUGAUAUGGUACAUAUUAAAGCUUAAGAGAGUAUUUAUUUUUGUGAUUCAACCUAAUUUUCAAACUGAUUUUUACAUGGAAAAACGUUAAAUUAAGCAUUAAUUUUGUUUGGCAUAAUUAAACUUCAUUAAUAAUUCUCAUGGGAGAUUACAAACAAGAGGACUGCAUAUUAAUGACCGAAAUUAAAACCUCAAAAGAUACCAUGAAACUCACUAAGAACUUCAUUUAUUUUUCUCACGUAAAUAACAUUUUACAGAUUUAUAGAGACACUAUGAGCCGUCCAUACUUUUUAAGCAGACAACCUUGCUUGCUUCUUCUAAUCCACUGGAGAGCCUCAUUUAUUUUUCUCACGUAAAUAACAUUUUACAGAUUUAUAGAGACACUAUGAGCCGUCCAUACUUUUUAAGCAGACAACCUUGCUUGCUUCUUCUAAUCCACUGGAGAGCCUCAUUUAUUUUUCUCACAUAAAUAGUUCUCAUCAUUUUACAUAUUGAUAAAGACAGCAGAAGCUCUCCAUACUUUGAAGCACUCAACCUUGCUUGCUUCUAAUCUUAAAGGCGCCGCCCACAAUUACGCUUGUAAGGAAGACAUGGUGUUGGUGUUGGUGGUUGGCUAGGGACGCAAUAUCGUUGACCCCUACCGCAAUUGAAUGGAACUUUGCCGGGGUCACCACCUGGGGUUUUUGUAGCUGAAAGAUUUGCACACACGUAUACAUAAGUUAGCUUGUUAAUUAGAUAAUAGCUGAAAUUGUUUGCAAUACACAAAGAGAUUACACAGACAAAAAAUAAUAAUAAAAUGAACUGCUUUUCUUAGGUUAAUGUUGGAAAUAAAAUCUCACCUCGCUCGGUCAAUUCUCGAGCACUGCAUGUGGAUAGGGGAGAGAAGACGACGGUGGCUAAGAGAAAGCAUACGAUAAGAAGGGCCUUCAUCUUGGAAAUAUAUGUGACUAACACGGUUAUGCUCUCCUCCUAUCAUCCACCGCUCUUAUUUAUAGCCACCGUGAUUUUUAGCAGCAUUCGAAGGGAACUGUUCUUGAAAUCAAGGAUACGAUAUAAUUAAUGAACGUAUCAAACACUUCGCCUUCUU